GUGACCUCUUCGCCAGAUCCUCAUUCGACUGUGUUGUAGCCUAGCUACUACAUGUGACCUUUGAACUACUACUGCUGUAAGAGGAUGUGCAUCACCCUACAUUUUCAAGCCUGCUUUAAAAUAUGUGUUUACCAUACUAUGGCCCAUGAAGAAGUGAACAGGACAGCUGAGGUUCAUGAGAUUCUUCUCACCUUCACUAUAGAGAUGUAAAAAUAUUUCCCUGAUGCUAAGGACUGGUAAGGACGAUUCUAAGGGUUGCCACCAGACUUUUGUUGCCACGCCCCAACUUUUCUUUGACUAAAUGAAGCACUACUUACCUGCUGGCUUUGGGGACAUCAGGACCAAAGGAAUCUCCACAGUCACGUCACUAUCAGAAGAAGGAAGAAAAUGUUUACCUUUUACUUGUUAAUGGCAAUAUCAAGAUGUCAUUUCCCCCCGAAUAUUUAUAUUUACCUGGAUGUAAGGCUUCCUAGUAUUCCACUUCCAGACACCACAGCAGUUACUUUGAUUGUGUAGGACACCAGAAUUCCCAAGAUUUCCUUAUCCAUGUCAGGUCGGAUUCUGCAUUGUUCAUGAGGAGAGCAAUUUAGUGUAUAAUGCCCGGAUAGGGACAGACCCCUUUUGCUUUCCUUUCUAACAUUCUGGAUCACUCAGAGUUUUGCCGUCAGUAAUGGACUGUUUUAAUCUCCACUUACAUGGUGGUGGAUGCCAGGUUCGUGUCCUCAUCCUUCAGUUUGCCAUCUAGUGCCAAGCCGCGCUUCUCUGUGUUGUGUGCCAGCAGAGGGGUAAGUCUGUAUUCCUUCUCAAGGGUGCCUGUGGGAUCAACUUGGUCUCUAGUUAGGAAAUGUAUACUUGAACGUAAGUAAAGGUUUAGCACAAAAAGAGGCCUAAUUUUAACUAGCCAUGGAAUCAAGAAAAGUGUGAGGGUUUAAUAUCUUGCUUAUCUUAGUUUAGCAAAAUUAAGAACUUACCCAAAUUCCUCGCAUAGUAUAACUUUUGUGUAUUUGUCAGCAGAAUACAGGACCACAUCUGUUGUUUGUUCAACUAGAUAUAAGAAAAUGCUUUGGAAAACAGGAAUGGGAUCUCCAUGGUAGUAAAGCUGAUUAAUAAACAGAACAGAUCUUUAGUCAUAAGGAAAUCACUCCAGCUGUUUAUUUGAAAGAAUCUUUAGUACUGGCCAG